CCUUGGGGGUGGCGUAGGCACGGGGGUGGACGGAUGAGCGUUAAUCCCUGGAAAACCGGGAAAAUUGUGAAGAAACAGAAACACUCUAGAUUGGACACUGUGGCAGAGGACUAAAGACUAUGAGCCACCAGAAGGAGAUGCAGCUUGAGAACGGGAUGAAAGCUGCAGGAAAAGUAAGUGAAACACUGUGAUUUACUACUGAAAUUAUCCAGUUAGAAUGAAAUAUCCCACUACCACCACCUUUUUACUAUCUCAGAUGAAGGCUUUUUACAGAAAGUGAAGGAGAGCAUGAUUUUCAGUUGAAUUUGAGAGUUUUUACUCCAGCUAAACUUGUUGCUCAAAAUGGUAGAAUUCAAGAAACGCCAAGGCAGGCUGUGUGCUGCAAAACAUGCAGGCCAUGGGGAGGAGGGAGACAACACAGUGUUAUAAACCACCUUCAUGCCUUCGAGGUAAAGAGUGGCCCCCAGCAAAUCCCAGCAGGCCCAGGCCUGCCUUGAUGACUUGCUGUACAAUAGAGACUGAUCUAGAGAGGAUGCUACAAAAGAAAGGGCCUUAACAGUAAAUUCAUAGCUGAGCAAACAAGUGGGAGAAACUGAGGGAAAGCGUCAUGGCAAAUGCUAGACACAAAGCCCAGAGUAGCAGUGUUUGAGGACAAGAGACCUUUGCAGCCUUUUUUCUCCUGUUACAGCCCUUUUGGUGACUCAACGUACCACAAAUUAUUUUUAAAGCAUAUGGUGUUUCACAUACCCCCUUCCUCAGUACUGACCUUCUAAUGCUGGACUAGUGUUUAAGUACCUAAAACUUUGCAAGCAGGAUGAUCCUGUGUCUUUCACAAACAUUACAUUUAGUGGUUCAUCUCACAUUGAUGCCGUGGACAUUGAUAAGGCAGUUUUCCACUUUCUUAUCUGUGUAAGUGAUUGUGGAUUUUACAUCCUGGCAGCAAGGGAGUUAGGAAAUCCUUGCCAUAGGAAUAGAGGAGAAAGUAGGAAUAGAGAUUGGGAAUGAGGGGAAAGAUCUGGAGAACGUUUGUCGCUGCCACUGGAAUCACAGAAUCAGUAGAGGAUGAAGGGAUGGGUAGGGAGGAGUACUCCUCCUCUCCAACUUAAGCAGUAACUGCUACCCUGAACACUUCCAUCCUUCCCAGCAGGGAGGUGUGUGAAAAUCCAGUCAUCAAAUUCACAGUUCUAAAAAUUGGUUAAGGCUCAAACUGCAAAAAAUCAGUCACCAUAUUCUUACAAUUAAAAAUGCUACAAUUCAAGUAGUAUCUCUUGAUAGAACACCAUCAUUAUGGUUUAUGAGGAGACAUAGACCAGGACUUGGUGGUCAUAUGUGUUGAACAAGUAUGAGGUGUUUGCAGAAAAGUGGAUAAAAUAACUUUUUUUUCAAGGUAAAAAUACUCAGUUCCCUCUAACUUAAAAGAGCUAGUUCAGCAACCUCUUUAGAUUCAUGUACUGAUCUUCAUCUCUUCUUUUAAAAUACAAAAUGAAUGUUGUGAAGUUAGAGUACACAUUUCAUGUUGAAAGAACAGUAUUUCAAGAAAAGAGGCAUUUUAUUUUGAAACUGACUUCAUACCACCUUCCCAGUAGUGCAGAAUUUCAUAUAAAACUUAAAAGCAUCUUUCACCCCCUUACUUUGCACUGUUAAAUUAUGAGAUCAAAAAGGUGGUCAUUUUCGUAGCAUAAGAAAUUGGGAACUGCGUCAGUCUUGGGAGUUCUCUUUGUGCUAUGUGUCAACUUGUAUUGUCUGUAAUGUCAGUGGAGUGGGGCUACUUGAUCAUUAUUGCUUUACAGAUUAGCUCAUGGGGUGGAAAAGUGACAGAUAUGUUGGUAUGUUCUGGGUUUUGUUUUUGAACUGGGAAAGUAGAUGAUGCAAAAGAGUGUGCAAGACGUUUCAGUUCUAAACCUGCACAAAACUCUCAUUGAGGCCUUGCUCAAAUCACUUAGAGGAAGACACCAUGAUCUUCAGUCAUAUCAAGUAGUACCUUAGUGUGCAAGGGUUCCAAAUGAAAGCAGUGGAGCUAGUCAGGGAUGAAGGCAGUAAUAAACGUGAGUAAAGACAAUAGAACGUACUUGUCACCUCUUUGCUGCUGUUUCCCUAUUUAUAAAAUGAGGAUAAUAAAAUUUACCAGCUGUUCUGGGUGUUGUAAGGAUACAUUAGCUCAUGCUAGCAAAUCACUUUGAAGGCAAAAACAAAUGCUAUAUAAAUGCUAAGUAUUCCGUCAAGAUGUGCAGGAGUGUAUUCACAGUACAGGGACAUGAACCAAAAUAACUGCUUUGGGUUGAGAGAGGGCUUUAAUGAUACAGAUGUUUACAGUAUCUGGAAUGCUGCUGCAUAAGUUACCUCACAGAGAAGAAACAAAAUACAAGCUGUUCAGAAAAAGUGUUAGUAUAGCACUGCAUGAAAGAGAAUCGAUUCUCUCAUUGUGCUGCUUGUUAAGCGUUAGUAAGUAUCUCAAGGUUGAAUAAUUCUGUGCUGAGUUAGUCUUGUGAGAAAAACAGUAAGAGAAGGCAAACUUGCAGUGUGAGACCUCUUUAGGUCUUACGACUUCUGCAUUUUGGUGUUUGCUGGGUUUGCACAGUAUAUUAUUGUACAGAACCAGAUUUGCCUUAACCAGCGCUGUUUCUUCUCCAAACUUUUAAUUUCACGUCCCUUUAAAAUUCAGACUGACUAGUCACUGAAAACCAUCGUGAAUGGUCCUUUCUGAACAUGAUUGAUGUGCUAGGCUGGUAGUGCCUUAAAAAAUAAAGCAAAAAGAUAAGUGUUUGCAAACUGAGUUAUGUUUGUUGAAGGUCUUUUGCCUGAUGAUUUCAGUUAUUGACUCGUGUAAGGCAAAUGCUUAGUCCAAGUCUGUAAGCCUGACAGUGCUGCAGCUCUGUCUCGGAGUGCAACUGUGUUUAGUAGAGUCUUAACUACAAAACAUAAGGCCUAGCUCCGGAAUCCCAAACUGUGGGCUUCUUUAGAGCCCAAUGAAUGCAACACCAAGGAUUCCUAUUUACCUUCCCAAGUCUUAGGUCAGGGCUUUAUUCUCUUCUAAUGAAAAGACUUGGGACUUGGUGCAUUGAAUGCCAUUUGCUUCAGUUUGGUGACGUAAGCAGUCCUUUGCCCAGUCCACCAAAAGAAAACAGUUUCACAUCAUCCUAUCCAAAGGAAAAUACUGAACUCACUGAAAGCAGAUAGCAUUUAAAUGAGAAGGUGCAUAGAAAUUAAUUACUUUUCAGAGCAUGAAAAAUGAAGUAAUAAGAGAGCUCUCAGUACCUUACUGUACUUUUUUCCUUAAGGCCUGAGGGAUAGCUAAUCAGAGUGCCAGGCAGAGAAGAAAGGCAGGAUUCGCACAGAGCUGGGAGUGAGAAGCACUAGAAUUCUUAUAUAAAAAGAUAAGUAAUUAAUGGUGAUAAAGAUUAAAAAUAAAUAAAUAAAUAAAGUGCAAAGAA
ensembl:lncRNA